CAGUCGCCACGGGAAUACAGAGGUCUCAAGCGUUGUUCGGAUUCAUUGGGCGUAAAGGAUGCGUAGGUGGCGGUGUAAGUCUAACGUGAAAUCUCGGGGCUCAACCUCGAAAUUGCGUCGGAUACUGCAUUGCUAGAGGAUUGUAGAGGAGAGUGGAAUUCAUGGUGUAGCAGUGAAAUGCGUAGAUAUCAUGAGGAAGACCAGUUGCGAAGGCGACUCUCUGGGCAAUUCCUGACACUGAGGCACGAAGGCUAGGGGAGCAAACGGGAUUAGAUACCCCGGUAGUCCCUGUCUCUUAUAC
rnacentral:rRNA from 1 species